rnacentral:tRNA from 1 species
GGCGGGGUGGCAGAGUGUUUAUGCGAUAAGGGCUGCAACCCUUAUACAGGUCGGUUAAAAUCCGUGCCCCCGCCUCCA